rnacentral:rRNA from 1 species
AACGCCGCGUGAGUGAUGAAAGGUUUUCGGAUCGUAAAAACUCUGUUGUUAGGGAAAGAAACAAAGUACCGGAGUAACUGCCGGUACCUUGACGGUACCUAAACCAGAAAAGCCACGGCUAAACUACGUGCCAGCAGCCAGGUUUAAAAAUAA